rnacentral:misc_RNA from 1 species
GCAUCCCAGGGAUCUUGUCCUUGAUUUUGUCCAUCAUUCCUUUCUUCUCUUCACCUGUUGUUUGUCCAUACUCACCUUCAUGUUGUCCAGGCAUCUUCUCCAUUAUCUUCUCCUUCAAACCCUUCUUUCUCCUCCCACCUUCUCCAUCAUCCUCCGACGAGCUAGAGCUGUCGGAUCGACGAAGCUGCUGUUGCCCCUCAUGGUGAUGAGUACCAGUACCCAUGCCUUGAGUUCCAUAUUCUCCACCAGUGCCCCCCAUCAUACCGCCAGUACCC